rnacentral:rRNA from 1 species
UGGGGAAUAUUGGACAAUGGGCGAAAGCCUGAUCCAGCCAUGCCGCGUGUGUGAAGAAGGUCUUCGGAUUGUAAAGCACUUUAAGUUGGGAGGAAGGGCAUUAACCUAAUACGUUAGUGUUUUGACGUUACCGACAGAAUAAGCACCGGCUAACUCUGUGCCAGCAGCCGCGGUAAUACAGAGGGUGCAAGCGUUAAUCGGAAUUACUGGGCGUAAAGCGCGCGUAGGUGGUUUGUUAAGUUGGAUGUGAAAUCCCCGGGCUCAACCUGGGAACUGCAUUCAAAACUGACUGACUAGAGUAUGGUAGAGGGUGGUGGAAUUUCCUGUGUAGCGGUGAAAUGCGUAGAUAUAGGAAGGAACACCAGUGGCGAAGGCGACCACCUGGACUAAUACUGACACUGAGGUGCGAAAGCGUGGGGAGCAAACAGG